rnacentral:lncRNA from 1 species
UGGGAUGAAUUUAAGAGAUGUAUUGAGUUAGAAGGGGAGGAUUUUAACUUCAUUUUGAGAAAUAGUGGCUGCUGUUUGCUGCUACCCAUAAUGAAGCCCCGGAGCCCCAAGUUCAAAGGCUUUGACAGCAACUUAAGUGAAGGACCCUGGGGCUUCCUGAGGUUGUUGCUGGCAGCUGUAGGGAGAGCUGUCCAGGCCCUGCUUUAUUGGAAAGCUCACACCAGCUGACUGCAAAGCCAGGAAAUGGACCUCCAAGCAAAAGUUGGAGAUUGUUUUUCCAUCUGGCUUUUCUGCUUUCAACUCAAAACUGUAGUCAACAUUUUCACAGCUUGUCAAUGGAAACCUGAUUAUGGCUCCUCAUCCAAGAAGAAAAAAUAAAAUUGAUUUGAAUAGAGGACAAGAUAGUACAGAAAAUGCAUUCAGAUUUAUCAGACUUUCCCAACUUCCUGCUGUUUGCUUUACAAAACAGAGCAAAUCUCACAUUCCUCCCGUUUAGUCCCAAAACACUUCUAGGGAAAUUCUGUCACAUGACAGCCAAGGAUACCCAAAUUUAGAGCCCUGCAUGCUGAAUGAGGACACAUGAUCACUUUAAAAAGAAUGAGACUGGGAGCUAUUAUUUCUUCCAGAUGGAUAUGAAGUCAUAUUCAAAGAAAUAAAGGCAUUGAUUUAUUUGGGAUCUUAUCAACAACAGUUCAAAGUGUGCAGUAUCAAGGAGAAGGAAGAGGCUUAGUCUUCUAGGAA